AGCUUCAUGCCUCGAAUAUUUGAAUCCUGAGGGUAUAUUCCAUUGAAAACCUGAGCAUCCAUGCAAAUAAUUAGAGGGUCCCUCCCCCAUAGAGGGAUUGAUCUUACAAAACAUGUUAUUAAGUUGGUCUGCCAGCAAAAGGUGCUCUGAUCUUACUUUGAGUCAACAUAAGGGUGCACAUUUUAGUUUUUGUCACAAAGUACAUAGCCUGGGUUCUCCAUGACAUCAUCCUAUAAAGUAUUAUACAAGUCCUUUUCUGUCUUUUUCCUAUUCUACUUUACACUGUGCUGUGACACAGGGUGAACCAAAGAACUAUGGAGACAGAACUCAGCAUGACCUGAGCCUCAAAAUGUUUUCUUUCCUUUCAGUUACAGGUGGAGCAUAAAAGAUUCAAAUGUUUUUCUUCAAUCUUAAAAAGAUUUCAUAAGAAGAGCCCACGUCCUUGGAAGGAACCUCCAGUUCCUCCAAUUACUUUGAAAGAACCAUCACAACCAAGGAAAAAAGGAAUACAACCCUAAAGAGUACCAAUGUACCUAACAGUCACUUUGGCUCUCACUGAAUAACAUGAACUAGAGGAAAGCCGAGGCCCAUGUUGGAUGAUCCAGUGUGGCUUCACCUGAUUUAGGCAGGACUAGGUGAGCCACUCUCUGUACUACAUACUUUUACCUGUGGGUGAUCCAUUUGGAUUAGAUCUGAUCCAGGUUACAGGUGAAUUAUAUAAAAACCUUGGACAGGGCAGUUGGAGAGAGU